CAUUUGGAAACGAUAUGAAGAUAGUGAAUAUUUUAGAUGAUUGUGGAACCAUACCCCGUUUCAAGUUUAAUCUGGUCAAACUAAGAGAUACAGAACAGCACAUGGACAAUGAUUUGCAAUUGAUAGAUGUAAUUGGUUUAAUUGUAUCUGUUGGUUCACACUUGACAAAAGAUUUGCAACUGAUGAUGGUGAACACUUGCGUCAAACUGUUACAAAAAAUAAUGUUUUGCUAGCCUGUGGU